CUUUUUUCUUCUUCUCAUUAUCUACUCUGCAAGUUUCGUCUUCUCUCAAGCACCAUGGCCACUUGAAUAUUAAUCAAUAAGAUGAGGAUCGCAGCUACUAUGACAGAUGUUCUUUCAUGAUAGGCUCUGGCUGUAAAAUCUCAAGCGCUUUAGUCAUUUCUCUUCCUGGUACCGCGCCAAGUCACACGGACGAAUCACUUUUGUGAUCAGAGUAAGGUAAGCGUCAUGUCACAUCCUCGCCAAUACCCCAGCGGGUUUGUCAACCUUGCGUGGCAGCGAUAUGGAUAUGAAGGUUCGUUCGUGCAACACGCUGUUCCGCGCUGGCAGCCAGACUAGGUCCUGUCAUUACAUAGCAUUGUAUCUCGUCAGUAUGCGUUGUUCUGGAAUGCAUCUCUCGUUUUGUCAUAAUCGUG
rnacentral:sRNA from 1 species